ensembl:snRNA U6 U6 spliceosomal RNA
AUGCUCACUUUGGCAGCACAUGUACUAAAACUGGAACAAUAGUGAGAAGAUUAACAUGGCUCCUGUGCAAGGAUGACACAAAAAUUCAUGAAGCAUUCCAUAUUUUU